CCUACGGGAGGCAGCAGUGAGGAAUAUUGGUCAAUGGACGAGAGUCUGAACCAGCCAAGUAGCGUGAAGGAUGACUGCCCUAUGGGUUGUAAACUUCUUUUAUAUGGGAAUAAAAUGUUCCACGUGUGGGAUUUUGUAUGUACCAUAUGAAUAAGGCUCGGCUAACUCCGUGCCAGCAGCCGCGGUAAUACGGAGGAUCCGAGCGUUAUCCGGAUUUAUUGGGUUUAAAGGGAGCGUAGGUGGAUUGUUAAGUCAGUUGUGAAAGUUUGCGGCUCAACCGGAAAAUUGCAGUUGAAACUGGCAGUCUUGAGUACAGUAGAGGUGGGCGGAAUUCGUGGUGUAGCGGUGAAAUGCUUAGAUAUCACGAAGAACUCCGAUUGCGAAGGCAGUUCACUGGACUGCAACUGACACUGAGGCUCGAAAGUGUGGGUAUCAAACAGGAUUAGAUACCCCAGUAGUC
rnacentral:rRNA from 1 species